AACGCAUAUUGCACUCUCUGGUAUUCCGGAGAGUAUGCCUGUUUCAGUAUCAGUAACACCCUCAAACACUCCCCCGAGAUUGUGAAAGAGAACGGGGGAGGGUUUGGAUUUGAGCGUUGCCGAGAAAACUUGCCUUUUGUUCGGCCCGCUCGAAAUGCAAGUACACAGGACAGGAUUUAUCCCCAGAUCGAGGGUGUGAAAAAAAAGCGUCGUAGUUGACUUGAUUGUCAUCCUUUCGCUGAAUAAGAACGCCCCGGUUAUGGAGACCUGCUGUGCAAAUUCGCAGGAAGGAAAGGAAAAAUUAUCCUUUUUUCAAUUCUUGAUCUGAAAUCAGGUAGGACUACCCGCUGAACUUAA
rnacentral:misc_RNA from 1 species